rnacentral:rRNA from 1 species
GAAUAUUGGACAAUGGGCGCAAGCCUGAUCCAGCCAUGCCGCGUGUGUGAAGAAGGCCUUCGGGUUGUAAAGCACUUUCAGCGAGGAGGAAGGGUGUUGUGUUAAUAGCACAGCAUUUUGACGUUACUCGCAGCAGAAGCACCGGCUAACUCCGUCCCAGCAGCCGCGGUAAUACGGAGGGUGCAAGCGUUAAUCGGAAUUACUGGGCGUAAAGCGCACGUAGGCGGUGUGUUAAGUUGGAUGUGAAAGCCCCGGGCUCAACCUGGGAAUUGCAUUCAAAACUGGCACGCUAGAGUAUGUGAGAGGGGGGUAGAAUUCCAAGUGUAGCGGUGAAAUGCGUAGAGAUUUGGAGGAAUACCAGUGGCGAAGGCGGCCCCCUGGCACAAUACUGACGCUCAGGUGCGAAAGCGUGGGGAGCAAACAGGA